AUUGAACGCUGGCGGCAUGCCUUACACAUGCAAGUCGAACGGCAGCACGGGAGCAAUCCUGGUGGCGAGUGGCGAACGGGUGAGUAAUAUAUCGGAACGUGCCCAGUCGUGGGGAUAACGUAGCGAAAGCUACGCUAAUACCGCAUACGAUCUAUGGAUGAAAGCGGGGGAUCGCAAGACCUCGCGCGAUUGGAGCGGCCGAUAUCAGAUUAGUAGUUGGUGAGGUAAAGGACUCACCAAGCCGACGAUCUGUAGCUGGUCUGAGAGGACGACCAGCCACACUGGGACGUGAGACACGGCCCAGACUCCUACGGGAGGCAGCAGU
rnacentral:rRNA from 1 species